AAGGAAUUGAAAACAGGGAUCUGAAGAGAUAUUUGUACACCCAUGUUUAUAGCAGCAUUAUUCACAAUAGCCUGAAGGUGGAAUCUCCCCAAGUGCCCACUGAUAGAUGAAUGGAUAAAUAAAAUGUGGCUUAUACAUAGGCAUUAAGAAGGAAGAACAUUCUGACACAUGCUACCACACAGAUCAACUUUGAAGACAUGCAACACAAAAUGGACUGAGCCAGGGAGUUAUUGUUUAACGGGUAGACUUUCAGUUUGGGAAGAUGUAAAAGUUCUGGAGAUGGAUGGUGGUGAUGGAUGCACAACAAGGUAAAUGUACAAAAUGCUACAGAGCUUAAAAAUGAUCAAAAUGGUAAAUCACUUAAAAUCGUUAAAGUUGUAAAUAUUGUGUACCUUUUACCACAAUUUAAAUGUAUCUAAGGAGGUGUCAAUUUUAGGGUCAUAUAAAUGUAGGGUUGGCAUUUAGUUCCUCGCCUGGGCCCUGCUGGUAUCACUCUGCUUUCCCAAACUUGUCUGGAUGUUCCUCCCAGAUUGAGAAUGAGGUGACUAGAACAAACAAUAAUUAUCAUCAUUGUUACUAAUAUUAGAAUUCUUUUUCUUUUUUUAGAUGGAGUCUCACUCUGUUGCUCAGGCUGGAGUGCAGUGGUGCAAUCUCGGCUCACUGCAAGCUCCGCUUCCUGGGUUCAGCGAUUCUCCUGCCUCACCCUCCCGAGUAGCUGGGUUUACAGGCGUGCGCCACCAUGCCCAGCUAAUUUUUGUAUUUUUUGUAAAGACAGGGUUUCACCAUGUUGGUCAGGAUGGUCUCAAACUCCUGACCUUGUGAUCCGCCCACCUCAGCCUCCCAAAGUGCUGGGAUUACAAGCAUGAGCCACCAUGGCCAGCCUAGAGUUCUUUAAGAUAUGCGUUCCAUGGAUGCAUUACAGGAUGCCCACAGUGAUUCUUACCUGCAUGGCUACUUCUCAUGGCAGGACAAAGAAGGUAUAUGGCAUAGAAAAUAAACAGUUUCAAGUAGAUAGGGCUAGGAGUUUGGAGUCAGUGAGGAGCUCUGAAUGUACUCCAAAAAGUUGCAUCACUUAGUUCACUUUGUUUACUUUAUAUAGUUGAAAUUAGGGCUUCUGAAUUCCCAUGCACAUUUAUGUAAGAUAGUCUAUAAAUAAGGACAUCCCCCCAGAGGCUUGGAAAAUUUCUGUUUACUUCAUGUUUGUUUCCUUCAGCAUAAGGCUUGUAAAAGAAAGUUCCCGAGGUAAGCUAAUGAAUUGUGUACUUUCACAGAUAAAGUGUAAGGAAAGUUAUAGGUGUGGUACCUGACAGUAGGAAAA
rnacentral:lncRNA from 1 species